rnacentral:SRP_RNA from 1 species
GGAUCGCUUGAGCCCAAGGUGUUCUGGGCUGUAGUGCGCUAUGCCGAUCGGGUAUCUGCACUAAGUUUGGCAUCAAUAUGGUGACCUCCCAGAAGCGGGGGACCACCAGGUUGCCUAAGGAGGGGUGAACCAGCCCAGGUCAGAAAUGGAGCAGGUCAAAACCAGGCUGAUCAGUAGUGGGAUCGCGCCUGUGAAUAGCCACAGCACUCCAGCAUGGGCAACAUAGCAAGA